rnacentral:rRNA from 1 species
GAUGACCGCUGGCGGCGUGCCUAAUCCAUCCACGCCGCGCGAACAGAUAAGGUGUUUGCUCCUUUGACGUCAGCGGCUGACGGGUGAGUAACACGUGGUUAACCUCUCUUUAAGACUGGGAAACCUUCCGGAAACCGGAGCUAAUAUCCGAUAACAGUUGGAACCGCAUGGUUCUAACAUGAAAGAUGGUUUUGCAAUCACUUAUAGAUUGACCCGCGCCGUAUUAGCUAGUUGGUAAGGUAACGGCUUACCAAGGCAACGAUACGUAGCCGACCUGAGAGGGGGAUCGGCCACACUGGAACUGAGACACGGUCCAGACUCCUACGGGAGGCAGCAGUAGGGAAGCUUCCGCAAUGGGCGAAAGCCUGACGGAGCAACGCCGCGUGAGUGAUGAGGGGGUGCGGCUCGGAAAACUCUGUUAGUAGGGAAGAACAAACGUGUAAGUAACUGUGCACGUCUUGACGGUACCUAAUCAGAAAGCCACGGCUAACUACGUG